AUACGUAGGGGGCGAGCGUUGUCCAGAAUGAUUGGGUGUAAAGGGUGCGUAGGCGGAUCUACAAGUCAGUAGUGAAAACCAUGGGCUUAACCCAUGACGUGCUAUUGAAACUGCGGAUCUUGAGUGAAGUAGAGGCAGGCGGAAUUCCCGGUGUAGGGGUGAAAUGCGUAGAGAUCGGGAGGAACACCAGUGGCGAAGGCGGCCUGCUGGGCUUUAACUGACGCUGAGGCACGAAAGUGUGGGUAGCAAACAGGAUUAGAUACCCUGGUAGUUCACAUUGUAAACGAUGAUUACUAGGUGUGGGGGGUCUGACCCCCUCCGUGCCGCAGUUAACACAAUAAGUAAUCCACCUGGGGAGUACGGCCGCAAGGUUGAAACUCAAAUGAAUUGACGGGG
rnacentral:rRNA from 1 species